rnacentral:rRNA from 1 species
AGUGAACGCUGGCGGCAGGCCUAACACAUGCAAGUCGAGCGGCAGCGCGUCCGACCACCCUCGGGUGGUCGGAUGGCGGCGAGCGGCGGACGGGUGAGGAAUGCAUCGGAAUCUGCCUCGUUGUGGGGGAUAACGUAGGGAAACUUACGCUAAUACCGCAUACGACCUACGGGUGAAAGUGGGGGACCUUCGGGCCUCACGCGAUGAGAUGAGCCGAUGCCGGAUUAGCUAGUUGGCGGGGUAAAGGCCCACCAAGGCGACGAUCCGUAGCUGGUCUGAGAGGAUGAUCAGCCACACUGGAACUGAGACACGGUCCAGACUCCUACGGGAGGCAGCAGUGGGGAAUAUUGGACAAUGGGGGCAACCCUGAUCCAGCCAUGUCGCGUGUGUGAAGAA